GCCUGGGUGGCUCAGUUAAGCGCCUGACUUCAGCUUAGGUCAUGCUCUUGCGGUUCGUGGGUUCGAGCCCUACAUCGGGCU
rfam:Felis catus isolate Cinnamon breed Abyssinian chromosome A2, whole genome shotgun sequence.